rnacentral:rRNA from 1 species
GUGGAGUAACCAUUUGGAGCUAGCCGUCGAAGGUGGGACAAAUGAUUGGGGUGAAGUCGUAACAAGGUAGCCGUAUCGGAAGGUGCGGCUGGAUCACCUCCUUUCUAAGGAUUAUAUACGGAA